UACGGAGGGUGCAAGCGUUAUCCGGAUUUACUGGGGUUAAAGGGUGCGUAGGCGGGUAGGUAAGUCAGUGGUGAAAUCUCCGAGCUUAACUCGGAAACUGCCUUUGAUACUAUUUAUCUUGAAUAUUGUGGAGGUAAGCGGAAUAUGUCAUGUAGCGGUGAAAUGCUUAGAUAUGACAUAGAACACCUAUUGCGAAGGCAGCUUACUACGCAUAUAUUGACGCUGAGGCACGAAAGCGUGGGGAUCAAACAGG
rnacentral:rRNA from 1 species